rnacentral:rRNA from 1 species
UCCUACGGGAGGCAGCAGUGAGGAAUUUUCUGCAAUGGGCGAAAGCCUGACAGAGCAAUACCGCGUGAGGGAUGAAGGCCUACGGGUUGUAAACCUCUUUUCUCAAGGAGGAAGAUCUGACGUUACUUGAGGAAUAAGCAUCGGCUAACCCUGUGCCAGCAGCCGCGGUAAUACAGGGGAUGCAAGUGUUAUCCGGAUUCAUUGGGCGUAAAGCGUCUGCAGGUUGAUAUAUAAGUCUGUUGUUAAAUCUUUGGGCUUAACCCAAAAUCUGCAAAAGAAACUAUAUAUCUUGAGUAUGGUAGAGGUAAAGGGAAUUUCCAGUGGAGCGGUGAAAUGCGUAGAUAUUGGAAAGAACACCAAUUGCGAAGGCACUUUACUGGGCCAGUACUGACACUCAGAGACGAAAGCUAAGGGAGCAAACAGGAUUAGAUACCCUGGUAGUCUUAGCCGUAAACGAUGGAUACUAGAUGUUGUGUACUUUUUAGUAUGCAGUGUCGUAGCUAACGCGAUAAGUAUCCCGCCUGGGAAGUAUGCUCGCAAGAGUGAAACUCAAAGGAAUUGACGGGAGCCCGCACCAGCGGUGGAUUAUGUGGUUUAAUUCGAUGCAACACGAAGAACCUUACCAGGACUUGACAUGGAGAGAAGUUCUCUGAAAGGAGAAUGUGCUACGGCCUCUUACACAGGUGGUGCAUGGCUGUCGUCAGCUCGUGUCGUGAGAUGUUGGGUUAAGUCCCGCAACGAGCGCAACCCUUGUUUCUAGUUAAUUUUCUAGAAAGACUGCUGAUUAUAAAUCAGAGGAAGGUGAGGACGACGUCAAGUCAUCAUGCCCCUUACGUCCUGGGCUACACACGUACUACAAUGGAUAUGACAAAAAGUUGCCAGUUUGCGAAAACGAGCUAAUCUCUAAACAUAUCCUUAGUUCAGAUUGUAGGCUGCAACUCGCCUACAUGAAGGUGGAAUCGCUAGUAAUCGCAGGUCAGCUAUACUGCGGUGAAUCCGUUCCCGGGCUUUGUACACACCGCCCGUCACACCAUGGGAGUUAAUCAUACCCGAAGUUAUUUCCCUUAAAAGAAAUACCUAAGGUAGGAUUGAUGACUGGGGUGAAGUCGUAACAAGGUAGCCGUACUGGAAGGUGCGGCUGGAUUACCUCC